rnacentral:rRNA from 1 species
CCACGGGAGGUAGCAGUGAGGAAGAGUGGGCAAGGGGCGGAAGCCGGAACCAGACAAGGAGCGUGCAGGAGGACGGACCUACGGGUUGUAAACUGCUUUUAUACGGGAAUAACGCGCCUUACGUGUAGGGCUUUGCAUGUACCGUAUGAAUAAGGACCGGCUAAUUCCGUGCCAGCAGCCGCGGUAAUACGGAAGGUACGGGCGUUAUCCGGAUUUAUUGGGUUUAAAGGGAGCGUAGGCCGCAUGUCAAGCGUGCUGUGAAAUGUCCGGGCUCAACCCGGGCCUUGCAGCGCGAACUGGCGUGCUUGAGUCCGCGGCAGGCAGGCGGAAUUCGUCGUGUAGCGGUGAAAUGCUUAGAUAUGACGAAGAACCCCGAUUGCGAAGGCAGCUUGCUGCAGCGGAACUGACGCUGAUGCUCGAAAGCGCGGGUAUCGAACAGGAUUAGAUACCCGGGUAGUC